UACGUAGGGGGCAAGCGUUGUCCGGAUUCAUUGGGCGUAAAGAGCGUGUAGGCGGCCAGGUAGGUCGGUUGUGAAAACUGGAGGCUCAACCUUCAGAGGUCGACCGAAACCAUCUGGCUAGAGUCCGGGAGAGGAGAGUGGAAUUCCUGGUGUAGCGGUGAAAUGCGCAGAUAUCAGGAAGAACACCCGUGGCGAAAGCGGCUCUCUGGAACGGUACUGACGCUGAGGAGCGAAAGCGUGGGUAGCGAACAGG
rnacentral:rRNA from 1 species